GUUGGACUACUAUGUCUAGGUCCAAUAUGAGGUUGGGGAAUUGCUCGUCCUUUUUCCAUUAAUGCUGGAUGCAUUGUUGCUUUGGAGGCCCUUAAGUGAACAGGAGUUCUUUCUUGCGGAAUAUUAUCUAAAAAAAGGAAUUGUGAUGGAAAUGUUGGACGACUCCUUACACAUUUCAGAAAAAAUAGAAUGCGGAACAAUAAUACAACAUUAAUAAUGAUAAUAAUUAUAUAUUUUUACAACAGUAUAUAAUAUUAUACAACAAGUUAUAGUAUAGGUACAUUUUGUUUAUCUUUUUUAUAUAUAUAUAAAUAUAUAAUAUAGUAUUCUACUUUUUUUUAUAGUAGUGUAGUUGAUCACACACUUGUCUACAGUAAUCACUUAAGGUCAACACACUUGGGUAGUAUAAUAAUGCUAUAACUCUUAUGAUAUCAUAUUCGAUAAAUAAUUUAAAUAAUAAUGUGUCUGUUUCAUUUUGCAUAUAUUUAUUGUACUGAGAAAAAUAUAAAAUAUUUUAUUU